CGCGGGACUGAGCGCGGGCACUUGGGGAGGCUCGCGGGAGCUUGCGGGGGGGACACCCUUCCAACUCUGGGCGCGCCCGAGCGUCCAGGGGCGCACGGCCAGCCCGCGCGGACGCCCCGAGCAGACGGGACCGGGCAGGGCCGGCUCAGGGAGGCAGCCGGGCGACGGCACGCCGGCCCUUUGUCUGACGCCAGCGUCCCGGGCGGCGCCGAGGGACCUGCGGGCCGGAUGCCCGCGCGCCCUACUCACCCACGGUGGCCAGCGUGUCGAAGUCCUGCAGGCGGUUUUGCAACACCUUGCUGUACAAAGCAGCUUUCAUCUGGAAGGAUCAUAAAAAUUCUUCAGAAACCACAGCCUGUGACUCGCGAAACAACGCACAACCAUCCCGUGUUUCAUAUAUUUUCUUGUAAUGAGGAAGCUGACUUCAGAGCACAAGAAAUGAUUUCCUAGAAGAUACGAAUGGAGAGGUUUGGAAACCGGUUUCCGUGAUGUGACAGAUUGGACUGAGAGUUCUGUCAGAUCUUGCUAGAAAGCUGGUGGUUGUGCGUUUAAUCUUCAUUUCCAGGACGGAGGAACGAGAACAUCUACGGGGUCUUAUCUGCAAACCAGAUAGUUUUCAGUGAGUCAUCGGUAUUUAUCGUGGCAAGACUUGUAAGGAGGAAACUUGAGGAGUCGUGAAGCAUGAGCGAGGGAGGUGUGAGCGAAGGCAGAGUCAUGCCCUGACCUUGGAGGAAAGAGCUUGGUGAGUAGGAUUCCUCGGGAAUGGGUCGGCAUCAGCCCACCAAAGCGCACGUCGCAGCCUGACCCUGCGAGGCAAAUGGUUGAUGUGGGAGAGCCCGCGUGAGAGCCGGGAUUCCAGAAUGCUGAGAAAAGGAGACUUCUCAUCACAUGGGAACUCGGUUUUCCGGACUUUAAAAAAUAGUUUGGUAUUGCAGCAGAAAAGACCUCAAGAGGUGCAUUUCUCUGGAGUCCAGAGCGCACCUGCCAUCUGCAUGUGGUGGAGAGAGCACAGCUUACCCAGGAAAUGUUAUGCAGACAACUGGAUGGCGAUUUAAAGUUUCUAAAAAGGGGAUUUCCUCUUGGCUCCUUCAUGCCAGGAUCAAUUCUCCACGUGUCAAGAUGCGUGUGUAAAAAUAAAAUCGUGGAGUAUGAGAUGAAAUACAGACUUUAAAAGGGUAACAAUAAAAAACGUAUAAUAACUGCAUUUAUAAAAUAUAUAUAUAUAAUUUAGGGGCACCUGGGUGGCUCAGUUGGUUAAGCGUCUGCCUUCGGCUCAGGUCAUGGUCCCAGGAUCCUGGGAUCGAGCCCCACAUCGGGCUCCCUGCUCAGCGGGAAGCCUGCUUCUCCCUCUCCCACUCCCCCCGCUUGUGUUCCCUCUCUCGCUGUGUCUCUCUCUGUCAAAUAAAUAAAUAAAUCUUUAAAUAUA